CCGUUCCUGCUGGCCUGCCUGCACGGGGGUGCGGGCGGGCCCGAGCCCCUGUCCCAUUUCGAAGUAGAGGUGUGCCAGCUGCCCCGGCCCGGCCUCAGGGGCGUCCUCUUCCGCCGCGUGGCGGGCACCGCCCUGGCCUUCCGAACCCUUGUCACCCGCAUUUCCAACGACCUCGAACUCUGAGCCACCGCCACCGCCACCACCACCACCACCACCACCACCAUCACCACCACAGCCACCAUCACACCCCGGGUCCCUUCUUUUCUCUGGUUCCUUUCACUUCCCCAAAAGGGGAACAGGACAGAGGAGGGGGUUCCCCGUAUCAUGACUGAAGCUUCCCUGGAUUAGAUUGGUGGACAGUGUGGGGACACAUGACACGAUAAGAGGGCUCAGCAGGGGGGAGCUGGCACCCUCCUAGGGCCUCUAGUGGGGACCCCCCCAUCUUGCUCUGCUGCAGGGCACUUGAGGAGACUUUGGGGACAGGAGUGAGAAGGGAAACUGAGGAAAUUCUCCCAUUUGGGGAGAACUUCCAGGCAUAAUGACUGGAGACAGAACUCGGGGGGUUCAGGGAGUUGGGGGUCACAGGCAGAAACCUUCCCCUCCCUCCUCCUUAUGCUCGAACCUCCUUCAUGCCCCAGGCUGGCGCGGGGCACUUUGUACAAAUCCGUGUAUAUACUCCUGUCCCUCUGCAGAGGUCUCUCGGGGAGCUACCGCUGUCGCCUCAAGUUUUUAAGUUAUUGCCCCCCCUUCUGUCAGCUCCUCACCUGCAGCCUGUUACUCAAUAAACAGUAGGAGUCCCUCCAGCCCCCAACCCCCUGGCCGACCUGGGGUCUUCCUUCCCAGCCCUUGGCCUGCAGGUGAGCAGGGAGCUGGGGACUUGACCCCAACCUGUGGUUCUGCUUGCUGAGCCUCCGUUAUCUCAUCUGCAGAAUGGGAACAGUGGGGUUGGAGGGUGGGUCCAGGAUGAUCAUGGAAGAGGGCAAAACAGAAUUCGGCCUCUUCCGUGAGGCCCCAGCCUUCUGUGACACCCUCCUCUUGGCCACUUACUCCCCUCUGCCGUAUUACACUGGACCCAGAGCCUCUUCCUAUUCCAAUAAUACAUGUAUUCAAUAAACAAUCAAUGACUGGUGCCGACGCCACACUAGGCCCAGUUCUGGACACGAG
rnacentral:lncRNA from 1 species